rnacentral:rRNA from 1 species
GAACGGGAAAACAGGGGCAACUCUGUGAGUACAGUGGCGUACGGGUGAGUAACACGUGACUACCUACCCUCGAGUGGGGGAUAACCCCGGGAAACCGGGGCUAAUACCGCAUAACAUCGCAAGAUCAAAGGAGCAAUCCGCUUGAGGAGGGGGUCGCGGCUGAUUAGCUAGUUGGUGAGGUAACGGCCCACCAAGGCUAUGAUCGGUAGCCGGCCUGAGAGGGCGCACGGCCACACUGGAACUGAAACACGGUCCAGACUCCUACGGGAGGCAGCAGUGGGGAAUUUUGCGCAAUGGGGGAAACCCUGACGCAGCAACGCCGCGUGGAGGAUGAAGUCCCUUGGGACGUAAACUCCUUUCGACCCGGACGAUAAUGACGGUACGGGUGGAAGAAGCACCGGCUAACUUCGUG